rnacentral:rRNA from 1 species
CGGGAAAAGCUCAAAUUUAAAAUCUGGCAGUCUUUGGCUGUCCGAGUUGUAAUUUAGAGAAGUGUUACCCGUGCUGGACCAUGUAUAAGUCUUCUGGAAUGAAGCAUCAUAGAGGGUGAGAAUCCCGUCUUUGACAUGGACUUCCAGUGC